rnacentral:rRNA from 1 species
UACAGAGGCCUCGAGCGUUAGGCGGAAUCACUGGGCUUAAAGCGUGUGUAGGCGGACUUCUAAGUACCUUGUGAAAUCCCACGGCUCACCCGUGGAACUGCUUGGUAUACUGGUUGUCUUGAGCCUUCUAGGGGCGAGUGGAACAAAUGGUGGAGCGGUGAAAUGCGUAGAUAUCAGGAGGAACACCGAUGGCGAAGGCAGGUCUCUGGGCCACUACUGACGCUGAGAAGCGAAAGCAUGGGGAGCGAACAGG